CCCACCCGUCCCUGCCUCCGAGAGCCGGAGCCGUGUGGAAGCCGUUGCUCCUUUCUAUGCCCUCUUGGUUGCAUUCGCUGCAACGACUGUAUGAAUAGACAGGUGUAAAGUACUUCGGUUUUACAGCUCAUGUCACCAACGGAAAGUGAAGCGAUGUGGUCUAAAAACUGCCUUUUCCUCUUGCUGCAUGAAUCUACACAAGAUGCACAGGGCUGAACAAAAGCAAACGGUCCUGAUGUCCUCAUAAAGUAUUCACGGACUUUAUUAAACUGUAUUUUGUAAGCUAAAAUACUGAAGAUGAUCAUGUAAAAUGCAAGGUACGGCAGAUUUUCUAUACAGAAAGAUCAUCGACCUGGUUAGGAUGACUGGUAUUUAGUACUACAGUUGUCACCAAUAUUUUUAUAGUUGCUUGAUCCCUAAUAUGACAUAUGCACCAUCCCAGAAAUCUUUACGGUUACCUUCCAUGAUAGCUGUCAGAGAACUAAUCUGCAGGAGAGGUGGAUUGCAUGCGUUGUCCACAACCUGAGUGAAAACCUGUCGAGCCUGUUGGGCACAGAGGUUGGUCAGCAGGUUAAAACCCAACAGGUGGCUGGUUACAGGGGCCUUCCACAGAGGUCACCACUGGUGCUGAUACUGCCUGACAUCUUCAUCAACCACCUGGACUGUGGAGCCCUUCUCGGGUUCAUGGACAACCCCAACCCGGGGGCAGCAGUUGGUAUGCUGGAGGGCAGGACUACAGUGAGGCAUCUCAGCAUCCUGGAGGAGUGAGCUGAUAGGAGCCUUGUAAAGUUCAACACAGACAAAUGACAAGCCUUGCACCUGGGACAGAGUGACUCCGUGCAUCACCCACACAUCAGUUUGUGCCGGGGACUUGCUAGGGAGCAGCUUUGCUGAGGAGGCCCGCUGGACCCCAUCUAAUCUUUCUAUUUGCGGGAGCUGAAAGAAAGACUGCGUGCACGUUUGAGCACCUGUGAAGCGCAUGCUGCAAUGACACCAGAGAAAACUUUUACAAGUGUCGCAAUCUGUGAAAUCCCCACAGAGUCAGUUUUCCUUUGGACAUGGAGCAUUAGUCCUCAAACAAAGCACAGUUUCGCCUAAAGCACACCUACCACCUAGAAUGGAUAUGAAGAUAUUGGAGCUCUGAAGCUGUCAAGAAAGGCCAACAGGACAUGCCCUGGUCCCUUAUGAUAGUCACGAAGCAAGGCAGAAUGGUGGGAUGCUUCCCUCAUUUCACCAGAAAAGAGGAUACUUCAACUAGUAGCUGCUGGUGCACAGAGGAUAAGAGUGGUUAAUAUAUGAAGAUCUUUGCCAGGAGGAACAAGAAAAGGAAGUUAAAGGUGCCGUGUUCUUGAGGAGAUGGAUACUGAAAGAUGGCAACCCCUAAACACUUCUAGGAUUGUGGCUACAGUGAAGAAUUUUGUCUAUCCGAAGAGCUUAAAUGAGCAGUAAUACACAGAUGCUAAAAACGUUACCAACAAAUAUUACCAAUACUGAGCAUAAUCACCAGACAGCCAACUCUACUCAAAUUAGAAAAUCGUAGGAACGGUUAGUCUUGAAUGGCACAAUGCGUACUGAGACUUGAACACAAACAGUGUUCUCCAUUAAAGCCCUUUGCUAGACGGCUUUAGCAGCAUAUGAGCAAAAACUUUCAGAAACAAACUAUGUUACUCUGGUUCCUAUGCAGUAAGCACAGAGAUACAUGUAUUGAAUUAUUUUGACUUUUGCUGGCUUGUCUGGUCUUCCAGGCAAAAACUGGUAUAGUAUAAUAUAUCUCUCUCUAUAUAUAUAUAGAUAUAGAUAUAUUAUAGUUUAUUUAACAUGCAUGUGGCAACUACAGAAGUUCCUCCCUAACCCCACCACUGCAACAUGCCAAAUACUAGCUUUAACAGAACUGUUGCCAUCCCAUCAGACAAGCAAUGGGCCUUCUAGCUUUCAGGAUUCCUGUGUUUUUCCCAUCAAUUCUUUUUUCUGUUGUUUGGAACAUGGGGCAGGGUGAAUGCAUAAGGCUUAGUCAGUCUGUAAAUAUUUUUGGACAGUUCUAGCUGUGCUCUGAAUGUGACGUUGUACUGAAAGAGCACAAAAUGGUAGAUGCUACCAGGCAUUAAGAACUGAGCACGAUCAGGGGGAAGAAGUUUUGACAGACUACAGUGUGAGGCAGGAGGAACUGUGCUAGGAGCCCACAGGUCAAGCACAGAGACUACAGCUUUGCAGUAGGCAGCAGGGAGCCCUUCUGGAUCUCAGAAGUGACAGAGACCCUCCCCAGGGAGCGGAAGAGACUAGACAGAACUGGCAGCAGCUUUCAGGAGUUACUUCCUCCAAGGAUACAAUAGGUAAGGUAGACUUGUAUUUAAAACCUUUAAUUUCUGUUCUGUCUUUCCUAAUCCUUUUGAGUUUUCCGUUCAGGAAGCUUAUCUGCCUAUUUCAUGUUCUUAUCAAGAAAGAGAGUCCAGUUUGGAUCGCUGAAGCCCACAAGACCUGUAAGCUCCUUCUGGUAUCUAACGAUCAUUUGUCAGUCCUUUCAGAAAUGGAACCUAAAUCGCAGCAAGAGAGAACAAAUGAACUUUUACUGUGAUCUUAUACAACCCUGCUGUGCUUCAGAACUUUAGAGCAACAACUAUCUAUUUCUGCAUAAGUAUUUCCAAAGAACGAGGGAAAGAUAUUCAAAGAGUACCAGCUAAGAGCAAACAUACUUCAAAACAGAAAAUGUUUUCCAGACUUUUAUGAAGUAUUGCUUAGUCUUUUAGAACUUGCUGAAGACAUGUUUUUGGAUCCAGAUCUGAGCAAUUCAUGAGGCAUUAAUAGUCAAUUCUGCUUACGAUAAUCUGUUUCUUUGCAAGGAUGACUGUGUCAGCUGAUUUCAGAAUAUUCCAGAAACUCCAACAAAAUCAUUUUGACAAUCUUUGGUUCCCACAGUCACAGAGGACAGGGGUACAUGUUUCAACAUUCAUGCUGAAGACCUAUCUCUCAUGCACAGAAUGGGAUUAUUUUCUGGAGAGGGAAAACUGAGGGAUGCACCCAAAUUAAAAGAUUAAGCAUGGCAGUGGUAUGUGAUAACUAAACAGUGAGCUAAUCAAUAACCUUAGUAGCAUUUCACACUACCUCAGCAGCAUCUCCCCGAGGACUUAAAGACUGAUUUAAGCCAUACAAGACUCCCUGACUUGGGAGGUAUCAGUCUCCUCUUUAACAGACGGAAUAAGGAAGCAGAGAGAGACUAAGAGCAAAAUGCAAAGAGAAGACGACCUCAAAUGUUCUUUGAUAAAUAAUUGUUCCUUGAAAUUCCUUAACUAGAGACUAAAAGGAGGUACAGUGUAAUCAUAAAGUAUGCUCCCAAGAUUUACAUCCGCUUUCUCUCAGCUGCAACAGAGCAAGGCAGCCAUUGUAAUUUAGAACAUUCUUGCCUGUAGUGCAGAACUGGAGCUCAAAUCUUUGAUCACAUUGCAGAAAGAUGCUGAAUAGGGUCAUUGUGGGUAGGCCAUGGAAACUAAGAGCUACCCUGGUUUAUUUGUGAGAGUCUGGCUCCGAUUCCUUAGAGCAGCACCUGCCUUGAUAUAUGGCAGUAGCCUAUCUGCCUUUAUAAAAUGUACAUAUUUUAUAAACUGCUACAUUGUUUUCUAGGUAUAAGAAACCGGAAUGCCAACUGCCUGAAACUGUCAAAACCUGGAAAUAAGAAGGACCUCAUUUCAGGCAGGGAACUCUGUUUUAUCAACAGAUGGUACAGACGCUGUCUUGUCUUCUCUGUUUAGUACCCGAUUCUAUAUUUUUCAGCUUGAUGCAAAAUAACUGGGCUAAGCCAGUGAGGCCACAGUAAGUAUAUAAGUAUAAAAUAAAUGUCCAGCAAUUUUUUUUGUCAGUGCACGCAGGUCUUGCAAAAUGGAAUCAUGCAGGCAGGAAAGAGA